GACUCGGAGAAAAAGAAGGCGCUAAAAAGUGAGGUUAGGUCGUCAAAUCGAAACCUCCAUCGUCGAGAUCAGAGGUUCGUUAGAAAUUUGACCAGGGUUGGCCGUGAAAAAACGUUGGGCUGUCACUUCCCGACAUUCCCAGUGGCGCUCGCGUUGUCAAUGAGACACGAUGCGUUAUUCUCUUUCGAGUAUAUAGAGCAAAACGAAAACGUUGUUUUUCGGGAUGUUCCGCGUUCUCGGAUUGUCAGGUACGAAGGGCUUGUCUCAAUAAUAAUCGUUCUUCUUUCUUUCGUUUCACCGUUUUCUUCGUACGCCGGUGAAACGCGUUCAUUGGGCACCCUAUAUACGAUCAAACACAAUCUAUCUUUUUCUCUCUCCCUCUCUCUUUCUCUCUCUCUCUCUUUUUUUCUCUCUAUCUUUCUUUCUCCCUUUCUUUUUCUUUCGUGUUUGAUCUCUCCCUUCUUCUCUCACAAUUCUUGAAAGAAGCUUUAGAUCAAGUACACGAACGACAUUACGAAUGUUCUUCCAACAUUUUGUUUACUAAAUAUAUUAUAUCCUUCUUUACGCUGCCGACGAUAGGAGUAGGAACACGUUUCUCUCUCUUUGCAUGUGUUACUGUAAAUGAGGGCUACAAUAAACUAACUAAACGAGUGAUUGGUCAACCGCGUUGCAAUGUAAAAUGGCGCACCGUUGAUACUUUAGGCGCGAAUUUUACCGACCAAUCACGAAUGCUCGUUCGAUUAUAUGAAUACUUCAAAUGUUCUUAUUGGCUCCUUCGAUCGAUAAGUUUAGUCGAAUGUAUACAUUCAAAUGAAUAUUUAUUUAUUUCUUUUUACUUUUCAAUUUUAUAUUUGUAAUUACAAAUUAUGAAUACUUUUAUUUUAUAUUUUAAUAUCGAAAAUGUAUGUAUUUUAAAAUUCCAGUUCUCAUUAUAUUAGGUUGUCCGAAAAGUUCGUAUUAAUUUUCGAUAGGUGGCAUAAAGUUUUUUUGUUGAAAAACUUAAAAAGUUCCGGUAGGACAGAUUUAUUUCGAUAAGCGGCAAAUAGUUUUUUUGUUGAAAAACCUGAAAAGUUCCGGUAGGACAGAAUUAUUCAAGUUACCCUUAAAGAUGGAGGAAGGUUGUGGAGCAGAAUAACACUUACAUAUAAUUUAAUAAAUAAAUAUAUUAACCAAAACUUAAAUGCGUUGCGUUUCAAUCUUUCGUCAAAAUCGGCACGAAUUUUCCGAACAACCAAUACUUUUAUUAUCUCUCAAUUCAACUUAAUAAUCAUGAAAUCAGAUGAAAUAAUAAAAUAAGUUUGAUGGUAUACGAUUCAUAAAACUAUUCUUAAACUGAGGCCUUAAUUAUGUUCUAACAGUAAGGAAAAUUUCUCUAACCGUAAAAAUUUAGUUAAUAUUAUUUU